rnacentral:lncRNA from 1 species
CAGCAGAGGAGCCAAGCACUAAGCAGCCUGCAAACAGUAAGAAGAUUCCCCUCUCUUUCUCAGUGGAUGUAAAGCAGUGAUUCUGCAUAAAUGUAUCAACACUAUAGCUCAACUCCUUCUGGAGUGGACUUCCCCUAGACCUGGAGAGCGAGUCCUGCCUAGCAUACACGGCCUGAAGUUCGAGAUCUCUUCCAAUUCAGGUCAACAAGAAAACUCAAUUCCUCUUCAGGAAGUUAAGUGACUUAAAGAUUACAUAAGAGCUAAGAAGACAAGCCAGCUAAGCAUGUUCAAGACCGGGCUUUUUGAAACUGCACUAAUUGAUCAUAACGGUAGACGGGGUUUCACCAUGUUGCCCAGGCUGGUCUAGAAGUCCUGGGCUGAAGCGAUCCGACCGCCUCCCAAAGUGCUGGGAUUACAGGAGUGAGCCAUCUCGCCCAGCCGAAAAAGUGUUUUUUGAUCUUAAAAUCUUACGUGGAAUGAAAGUGAACAAUGAGGCAAUGAAAGUGGAAGUUUCUCUUAAGCAAACACAGAAGUCAACCAUUCCAGCUUUCUAAGCUCUUUAGAAAUGCAAUUAUAGCCUUUACCACCUCUUCAGCAGAUAUUCCUCACAGGGCAAAUUCAUCUAACUGUGUGCUUAGAAGCUCCAGAAUGGAACUCUUACCCACCAGGAGGUUGCCCCGAGAGAUAACAGUCAAUUUACAAUCCAAAGUAUGCCCGCUAGAGUUUUUGGCCACCAUUACAACUCAUUUCUGCCCAUGAAGACACCAGCUUGACAGCCUGAUAGAUAAGGCACCAAGCUAGCACAAAACCCCUCACCUGCUUGUGUCCUCCUUUGCCUUUUAAAAGUGCCCACUUUCUGCUCCAAAGGUGAAGCAGUAUACUUAAGGACGGAAGCCUGUACUUCUUCCCCUAAGCUAGUUUUGGAAUAAAAAGGCACUUUCUUUAUACCAGACCUUGUUCUUAUUAAUUGGACUCUGCAAGCGGCGAAUGAUUGAACCUGCACUUCGGUUGCAUGACUACCAACCCAUCUCUUCAGCCUCAUCCCUCACCCAACCCCACCCAGCUGCAAGCCAGUCAUCCAAUCACUUGCCGUUCCUUGAACAAACCAAGCCCUGCUGGCUUUGCACAAGGGCUCAUCCCUGCAGAAGACCCUUCCUCUGCUCCUUCAUUACGCUUAAGCUGGAAGAGAGACAACUUCCUUCCCUCCAGCACGCCAGAGAGCUUUUCCAUAACAUGAAGCAAAGCCUGCAGGUGCAAAACUUGUCUUUAGGAUUCUUAGGACCAAAGAGUGAAUAUAUAAACCACAUAAGGAAACACAAGCUACAGUUAGCUUUUUUCCUUAAAUUGUGUGAAAACUGUGAAGGAAAACAAAUCUGCUACUAAUUUUUAACAUAUUAAUUCACAAACAAUAAAAUUGCAU